rnacentral:rRNA from 1 species
GACGAACGCUGGCGGCGUGCCUAAUACAUGCAAGUCGAGCGAGCUUGCCUAGAUGAAUUUGGUGCUUGCACCAAAUGAAACUAGAUACAAGCGAGCGGCGGACGGGUGAGUAACACGUGGGUAACCUGCCCAAGAGACUGGGAUAACACCUGGAAACAGAUGCUAAUACCGGAUAACAACACUAGACGCAUGUCUAGAGUUUAAAAGAUGGUUCUGCUAUCACUCUUGGAUGGACCUGCGGUGCAUUAGCUAGUUGGUAAGGUAACGGCUUACCAAGGCAAUGAUGCAUAGCCGAGUUGAGAGACUGAUCGGCCACAUUGGGACUGAGACACGGCCCAAACUCCUACGGGAGGCAGCAGUAGGGAAUCUUCCACAAUGGACGCAAGUCUGAUGGAGCAACGCCGCGUGAGUGAAGAAGGGUUUCGGCUCGUAAAGCUCUGUUGGUAGUGAAGAAAGAUAGAGGUAGUAACUGGCCUAUAUUUGACGGUAAUCAACCAGAAAGUCACGGCUAACUACGUGCCAGCAGCCGCGGUAAUACGUAGGUGGCAAGCGUUGUCCGGAUUUAUUGGGCGUAAAGCGAGCGCAGGCGGAGAAAUAAGUCUGAUGUGAAAGCCCACGGCUCAACCGUGGAACUGCAUCGGAAACUGUUUUUCUUGAGUGCAGAAGAGGAGAGUGGAACUCCAUGUGUAGCGGUGGAAUGCAUAGAUAUAUGGAAGAACACCAGUGGCGAAGGCGGCUCUCUGGUCUGCAACUGACGCUGAGGCUCGAAAGCAUGGGUAGCGAACAGG